CUUACCUUGAGUUCAAACUACAGAGCAUGUAUCCAAAAGAAAAGCUUAGAAUAUGUAAAACAUUUGUAUUUUGUUUAAAAGAAGGGGGAUGUAAUAUUCAUAUGUGAAUACAUACUGAAUUAUAAUUGGAUGCAUUUUACCGCCGUAUCAUACUGUGCGGUGAUUGGUUAAGACCACCCAGACGGUUAGGUCAUGUUCAGUUGAUCGUGGUUGGAGAUAGGCUAACAUGUAGUUGUAGCUAGUUAAUAAAGAGUUAUGUUAAGAAACAUCCUGUAGUUCUGCGUUUUAUUAUUUUGUACAAAGCGUACAAAACAAGACAGAGGUUGCACAGCAACACCAUCAACUUCCAGUAGACAGGCGUAGCUCUAGUAUACUCAACUGAAAUUAUACAGUUCGUUUAGUAUAAUAAAAUGAACUAAUAGUAAAUAUUAUGUAGUAUAUACUCAUUAAGCAUGUAGUAUACAGUAUGUUAGCAUGGGUUUUCGAACACAGCUAUAGAUUGAUUGACAGAUUGCACAUUAAGGUAGAUAUUUAGCCAACAGAUGUAUUGUCUUUUAUCAGACUUCUCUAGAGAUGUCAUAUCCCCAGACCCAUGGAUUACAGAACACAUCACAAUCCAUAGGCUAGCCUACAUAACAUUCACAAUAAUGAUGUGAGCAGAGCACUAUAUACAGUGUAUAGAGAGAGUUAGGCCAGGUUUUAGAAUGGCUAGCGCCCAUAUGCAACUUUAUUCUUGAAAUGUUGGUGAUGUAACAAUACAGAGUGCCGCAGACAGUUCCCUAUGAAAUGAACCGCUGUAAACAAGCAAAAAAGAGCAGUGAAUUUAAUUUAUUGAUUUAUAUCCAAGUCUUUACUGUGUUGUAGUGUCAACAAAUUGCAUAAAUGACAUCUUCAUAUGUUUAGAAAACUAUCAGAAAUAACGGGCACAACUCAGAAGCGUUAAUUAUCACUUAGCAAUGGCUAUUCGCCUAACUCUUUAUAUACACUCGGUGGCCAGUUUAUUAGGUACGCCACCCCAUUCACGAAAAUGGUUUGCUCCUAUAGACAGUGAGUCACGUGGCCGUGACUUGCUAUAUAAAGUAGCCAGACAGACAUUGAGGCAUUCAGAUACUGUUGGAUUGAAUGUUAGAUUGGGCGAAACGAGUGACCUAAGCGACUUUGAGCAUGGUAUGAUCGUUGUUGCCAGGCGCGCCGGUUCCAGCAUCUCAGAAACUGUCUAUCUAGGGUUUACCGAGAAUGGCGUGACCAACAAAAAACAUCCAGUCAGCGUCAGUCCUAUGGUCGAAAACAGCUCAUUGAUGAGAGGUCGAAGGAGAAUGGCAAGAAUCAUGCAAGCUAACAGGCAGCCACAAACAGGCAAAUAAUGGAGCAGUACAACAGUAGUGUGCAGAACGGCAUCUCAGAACGCACAACGGGUCAAUCCUAGUCACAGAUGGGCUAUUGUAGCAGACGACCACACUGGGUUCAAAUCCUAUCAACUAAAAACAAGAAGAAGCGGCUCCAGUGGGCACGCAAUCACCAACACUGGACAAUUGAGCAGUGGAAAAGCAUCACCUGGUUUGACAAAUCCUGAUUCCUGGAGCAGCAUGCUGAUGGCAGAGUCAGAAUUUGGCAUAAGCAGCAUGAGUCCAUGGCCCCAUCCUGCCUGGUGCCAACGGUACAGACUGGUGGCUGUCACGACUUCUGCUGAAGUUGGUCCCUCUCCUUGUUCGGGCGGCGUUCGGCGAUCGAAGUCAACGACCUUCUAGCCAUCGCUGAUCCUCUUUUCAUUUUCCUUUGGUUUUGUCUUGUCUUCCAUCACACCUGGUUCCAAUCUCAUCAAUUACAUGUUGUGUAUUUAACCCUCUGUUCCCCCUCAUGUCCUUGUCGCUGAUUGUUUAUUGUAAGUGCUUGCCCUGGCGUGCGUCGGGUUAUGUACCCAUUAUUUUGAUUGUUCUGUUUUCCGGUGGGUUUUUCUUGUUAUUAAACUGCGCCGUUUGGAAACACAGUUUUGCUCUCCUGCGUCUGACUUCUCUGCCGCCAGUACGCACUCCUUACAGUGGCGGUGGUGUAAUGGUGUGGGGAAUGUUUUCCUGGCACACGUUAGGUCCGUUGAUACCAAUUGAGCAAUGUUUCCAUGCCACGAAGAAUGCAGGCUAUUCUGGAGACCCAGUACAAGAUGGUUGUACCUAAUAAACUGUCCACUGAGAGUACAUGGCUCUGAUUGUGAGUGAUCACACAUCACAAUAAGUGAUUGUGAUACUGAUUGUUCUGUUUACAUCCCUAAAUAUGAAAAUGUAUUAAAACAGCAAAUCUAUGUAGUGGAACACUUUUUGCAUUUCCGUC
rnacentral:lncRNA from 1 species